ACUGUAACUGACGCUGAGGCGCGAAAGUGUGGGGAGCAAACAGGAUUAGAUACCCUGGUAGUCCACACGGUAAACGAUGAAUGCUAGGUGUAGGGGGUAUCGACCCCUUCUGUGCCGCAGUUAACACAAUAAGCAUUCCGCCUGGGGAGUACGGCCGCAAGGUUGAAACUCAAAGGAAUUGACGGGGGCCCGCACAAGCAGCGGAGCAUGUGGUUUAAUUCGACGCAACGCGAAGAACCUUACCAGGUCUUGACAUCCAGGUAAAGCGGUAGAGAUACCGUGUGUGCUUGCACAAUCUGAGACAGGUGGUGCAUGGUUGUCGUCAGCUCGUGUCGUGAGAUGUUGGGUUAAGUCCCGCAACGAGCGCAACCCUUACUUUCAGUUACUAACGCGUAGAGGCGAGGACUCUGGAAGGACUGCCGAGGACAACUCGGAGGAAGGUGGGGACGACGUCAAAUCAUCAUGCCCCUUAUGACCUGGGCUACACACGUGCUACAAUGGCCACCACAGAGAGAAGCGACAUCGCAAGGUAGAGCGGAACUCAAAAAAGUGGUCCCAGUUCGGAUUGUGGGCUGCAACCCGCCCACAUGAAGUCGGAGUUGCUAGUAAUCGCGGAUCAGCAUGCCGCGGGAAUAC
rnacentral:rRNA from 1 species